AGGUGUAAACCAUCACAUCUGGUUAAAAAAAGUCACUUUAUACAGAAAAGAUUAACAUGGCUCCUGUGCAAGGAUGACAUGCAAAUUUGUGGAAAAAAAGUCAUUUGG
ensembl:snRNA U6 U6 spliceosomal RNA